CUGGACAGAAGUGGCACUUCCUGUGUAACUCAUGGCUGGCCAUAGAUAUGGGCGAGUGCAUCCUUGAUAAAGUCUUCCCUGUUGCCUCUGACAUGGAUUUGAAGAAAUUCAGAUGAGGCAAAGGAUUUCCGUGAUGGCCACAUCUGGUUUUCUGUGAUCAGCUUACUUCCUGACUCAGCACAUUCGGCAGAGCUUCAGCCAAGGGAUCUCAGACAGCAUGAGCCACAGAGAUGUGUUCACCGGUGCAAAUACCUCUCUUCUCAGUAACCUCUUUGGAGACUACCCAGGUUUCAUCACAGAUGGGAACUCCAAACUGGUUGGUAAUGCCCAUCUUUGCCAGGUGAGGGUGCAGAAGACGGGCAUUAGGAGCGUUGACCAGG
ensembl:lncRNA